GGCCCCGAAGUCAAAUGCUUAGACGGCGGCCGUUGCAUGGCCGUACUAGUGGGUUCAAUUCCCACCGGGGCCU
rnacentral:tRNA from 1 species